GACGAACGCUGGCGGCGUGCUUAACACAUGCAAGUCGAACGGAAAGGCCUUUUCGGUGGUACUCGCGUGGGGAACGGGUGAGUAACACGUGGGUGAUUAGCCCUGCACUCUGGGAUAAGUCUGGGCAACUGGGUCUAAUACCGGCUAGGAACGCACUCCAGCGUGUGUGGGGGAAAGGUUUUUGGGGGUAGGAUGAGCCCGCAGUCUUUGAGCUUGUUGGUGGGGUAAUGGGCUUCCAAGGCGGCGGCGGGGAGCCGGACCGGGGGGGUGGACGGGCACCUUGGGACUUGGAAUAGGCCCAGGAUCCUAAGGGGGGCAACAGGUGGGAAAUAUUGACAAUGGGGGGAAGCCUGGUUGAGCGACGCCGCGGGGGGGAUGACGGCCUUCGGGUUGUAAACCCGUUUCGCCAGGGACGAAACGGUGUGUGACGGUAACUGGUGAAGAAGCACCGGCUAACUACGUG
rnacentral:rRNA from 1 species